AAAAUAGGGACCUUUUAAAAAUUUGUCCCCAAUUGUUCUAUUACACUAUUAUUGGGGACGGAAUUUCCUAUUUAGUAUGGAAUGAAAACCUAAAUAGAAUAGGGGACCAAAUUAUUAAGCUACUCAAUUUGCAAAAGGAAAAAAGCGGCAAUUCAGAAAAUAAAACAAAAAAGUGGCGGUAUUUUUUUGGUGCAAACUAGUGAAACUAUUGUGCCUCUUUUGGGUAUACAAAUGAUACUCUAAAGCAAUUGUUGAACAAAAUUUACACAAUUUUCUCAUCAAAGUUGACAAAAUUGGAUUAAGAGUUGAGUUUGGGGAAUCACUUUUAUUUAGAGAGCACAAUCGGAUUCAAUUAUUUCACAAGAAUAAUAUUGUGGGUCAUCGUCUUUAAAUGACGGGCAAACGCAAAAGUACAAGCAGAAAGCUACCGCCGACACUAAAAAAACAUCCAACUACUCAAAGGUUAAUUGAUACACAUGAUUCAGAUGAGACUCUUCCUCCUUCUCAAUUUAUAUCAGAUGAGCCAAUUGUGUUUGAUGGUUGGAGACAAGUUUCGAGACAAGUUUCGAGACAAAUUCCGAUGGUUAAUAAGCAACGGAAUUUAGAUGCAGCUACUAAUAAUCGCCCAAUUCUUCCAAAUGAGAGACGCUCAGCUGGCGGUAUAUAUUUGUUCUUUU